rnacentral:rRNA from 1 species
UACGUAGGGUGCGAGCGUUGCCCGGAUUUAUUGGGCGUAAAAGGGCGCGUAGGCGGCCACGCACGUCCGUUGUGAAAUCGCCCGGCUCAACUGGGCGGGGUCAGCGGAUACGGUGUGGCUAGAGCAAGCUAGGGGGCAAUGGAAUUCCCGGUGUAGUGGUGGAAUGCGUAGAUAUCGGGAGGAACACCAGUGGCGAAGGCGGUUGCCUGGAGCUUUGCUGACGCUGAUGGCGCGAAAGC